rnacentral:rRNA from 1 species
AUUGAACGCUGGCGGCAGGCCUAACACAUGCAAGUCGAACGAGUGGCGGACGGGUUGGUAAUGACUGAGAAACUGCCUGAUGGAGGGGGUUAACUACUGGAAACGGUUGCUGAUACCGCAUACCAUCAGAUGUGCCCAGAUGGGAUUAGCUUGUGGUGGGGGUAAAGGCUCACCAAGGCGACUAACCGUAGCGGGUCUGAGAGGAUGACCAGCCACACUGGAACUGAGACACGGUCCAGACUCCUACGGGAGGCAGCAGGGGGGAAUAUUGCACAAGGGGCGCAAGCCUGAUGCAGCCAUGCCGAGUGUAUGAAGAAGGCCUUCGGGUUGUAAAGUACUUUCAGCGGGGAGGCGUUACCCGCAGAAGAAGCACCGGCUAACUCCGUGCCAGCAGCCGCGGUAAUAC